rnacentral:misc_RNA from 1 species
CAACCCUCAAGCUGCUGUUUCAGUGGUUUGGUGUUGGGGCGCCUGAGACUUUCAAGGCUCAGGGCCCCCAAAUUCAUCGGCGGGCUCGCCGGGACUCUGAGCGCAGUAGUUUUUAUUACAUCGUUCGGGGAGGUUCCGGCGCAUCCCAGCCGUCAAACCACGAGUCUUUCGACACAAAA